rnacentral:rRNA from 1 species
CGGCGCCGUAGCUAACGCGUUAAGUAUCCCGCCUGGGGAGUACGGUCGCAAGGCUGAAACUCAAAGAAAUUGACGGGGGCCCGCACAAGCGGUGGAGUAUGUGGUUUAAUUCGAUGCAACGCGAAGAACCUUACCUGGGUUUGACAUCCGCAGUAUCCUCUGGAGACAGGGGAGUGCCCUUCGGGGAGCUGCGAGACAGGUGCUGCAUGGCUGUCGUCAGCUCGUGUCGUGAGAUGUUGGGUUAAGUCCCGCAACGAGCGCAACCCUUGUUCAUAGUUGCUACCAAGUGAAGUUGGGCACUCUAUGGAGACUGCCCGGGUCAACCGGGAGGAAGGUGGGGACGACGUCAAGUCAUCAUGGCCCUUACGCCCAGGGCUACACACGUACUACAAUGGCGCAUACAAAGGGUAGCGAAGCCGCGAGGUGGAGCCAAUCUCAAAAAGUGCGUCUCAGUCCGGAUUGGAGUCUGCAACUCGACUCCAUGAAGUCGGAAUCGCUAGUAAUUCUGGAUCAGCAUGCCAGGGUGAAUGCGUUCCCGGGCCUUGUACACACCGCCCGUCACACCACGAAAGUCGGUUUUACCCGAAGCCGGUGAGCCAACUAUUUAUAGAGGCAUCCGUCUACGGUAGGGCUGAUGAUUGGGGUG